rnacentral:rRNA from 1 species
GCGGAAGGAUCAUUACAAAUGUCUGGGAUGUCCAAUCGGGCCCCCAAGCAAACACAUCCAUGUGUACACUCCCAUGUUGCUUCCCCAGAUCAGUGGCCACUGCUGCCAGCCCACCCCCUCAAUUGGGGUCCUGGGUUGAGGUGUCUGGGGAAGGGCCCAAUAACAAACCUUUGAACCAAUUAGUUGUCUGAGUAGGCCACCCGCCGCAAUCUUUAAAACAUGUUAAAACUUUCAACAACGGAUCUCUUGGCUCUCGCAUCGAUGAAGAACGCAGCGAAAUGCGAUAAGUAAUGUGAAUUGCAGAAUUCAGUGAAUCAUCGAAUCUUUGAACGCACAUUGCGCCCUUUGGUAUUCCUUAGGGCAUGCCUGUUCGAGCGUCACUAAAAACCCCCUCACAGAUAAUGUGGUAUUGGUAGAAGUGAACGGUACUUACAUUACCUUGUCUCACUCUGCUGAAAUGAAUAGGCCAGAGAAGUGGACCCAUGGUAAUUGACUCCAGGAGUGUUUUUCAAUGCUAAACUAGUCUUUACCCAAGUCAAAUUCUGAGCUACCGGACCUCCCAUUAAGUCCAAAACAGAGUGGUUGACCUCGGAUCAGGUAGGGAUACCCGCUGAACUUAAGCAUAUCA